UAGCAGGAUCUGUAAAGCUCAGGAGGGAUAGCGCCGUAGAGGAUGAUAUGAUAAAGCAUCAUGUGUGUAAUAAGACUUUGUUUGGAUGAAUCAUUCCAAACAUCAUCUUCUACCUAUCAACAACAUUGGCGCUAUCUAUUCUGAGUUUCACGGCUCCUUCAU
rnacentral:pre_miRNA from 1 species